CUACUUGCCCCCACUUCCGUGUUUCUCUUCAAACACAACACCAGGAGCAGUUUUAAAAAUCCGACCGACUUCCCUUCUUCAGUUCCAACUUUUUCCGGGUUGCAUUAAUCUUUCGAAGAAGGCCAGGUAUAAUUUCUGUAGCCCGUCGGCACAUCUCCUCAUCGAUCCAUGCCCAAUAUCCGCAGCAACCUUCUGCCCACACAGCAAACCUUCGCCCAGGAUUUUUUGAAGUCCACGAAGUAAUCACCCUAGUCUCUUUCUCACAUUUGCACAUCGGUAGAGGGAACUGUUCAUUCUUCGCAUUUUCAGCUCCAACUUUGACUAGAUGGAGAUUUUGUUGCUCUAACUUGAGUCCAAACUGGUUCAAAGUACUGCUCAAAGGAAUGGUGUAGUGUUCACAACUUGGUCAAGAGUCUUUUAAGUUUCCUGGUAUAAUGCUACUUUUAACAGCAAAAACAGUUUGCACAUGUACGACUUCUUAAUUAAGUUGAAGAUGUAAUUAAUUAUGUUCUUGCAA